rnacentral:rRNA from 1 species
AUGGACACGGGGCCCCUAGAAGAACCUUUCACAGAAGAUGAGGUCAAAGCCGCGCUGUUUGAUAUCCACCCGGAGAAAGCACCAGGGCCUGACGGCUUCUCGGGGCUGUUCUUCAAAGCAUGUUGGGAAGUAAUCAAGGGGGACUUAAUGUGCGCGGUUUGGAAAUUCCAGUCACGCAAUACCCAAAACCUGCACCUCCUCAACUCCGCGUUCAUGAUCCUCAUCCCAAAGCAUGGAGGAGCAAACCACCCUCGCAACUUCAGACCUAUUAGCCUCAUACACAACUUUGCCAAGCUCACAAAAGUUCUAGCAAGACGCCUACAACCAUUAAUGCCGGAGCUGAUCCUUCAGUUCCAGAGUGCUUUUAUCAAGAAGCACAGCAUACAUGAUAAUUUUGUAUAUGUUCAGAGCCUGACCAGAGCCCUCAAACAAAAAAACACGCCAGCCUUCCUACUCAAGUUGGACAUAUCCAAAGCGUUCGACUCCACCUCUUGGGAGUUCCUGAUGCAACUGCUGGAUCACAGGGGUUUUGGGAUAAAAUGGAGGAGUUGUAUUGCGGCGCUCCUGCUCACUUGUUCAACCAAAGUCCUAGUCAACUGUGAGGUCUCACCCAGGAUCGACCACAGGAGCGAUUUACGCCAGGGAGACCCU